AGAAGGUCGGCGGUUUGAAUCCCCGUGACGGGGUGAGCUCCCAUUGCUCGGUCCCUGCUCCUGCCAAGUUGAUGCACAUUUUCUGGCCUCCAAUCCAACAGCCAUCUUUGCAAGAUCUUGCAUGUCGAUUCUCAUUCCUGUGUUUUUCAUGCAGUGCUUAUAGUUCAUCUAACCUGCUGAAAUUUGCUUGUAUGAUGGAUAGAGCUCUCUGUGAUAGCUUUAUCAAUAUGAGGAAGAAAACUUGUGUGCGAUCAGUUGGUCAUAAGACAAAAUAAUCAUAGGAAUGGGUUAGCAGCUUAAUUUGCAAGGGCUGAAUCCACCCACACUAUGGAUGGGAAAAGCUGGCCCCAUGUUACCACAAAAAUAUGGAGAUGUCUCAAGUACUGAAUGAGGGUAAUGAUCAUGCUUAUUGUGUUGAAAGGGACAAUACAAAUUAAGGUGUGUUCCUACUCAGAAUGUGACACAAUUCCUUUUCCUGUGACAGAGAGGCAGUGGGUAUGCUUCGACUUGAGAGGAAAAUGAAAAUAUCCAGAGCCUGCCCAUUUUGAAGUAAAGCAGAGGAAAGCUAAAUGGACUGUGCUUGCAUCGUUACAUAUAUGGAUAGGAAAAGGGGAAUGACAUAUCUGUCAAAUAAAUGUAGUCUAGAGUGUUAUUCAAUGUGAAUGAAUGCCCUUUAAUCCAGCACUGAUAAGUGUAAUUUAGGAAACCCACACAAGUGAAUUUGCCAUAUCAUCUCAUUGGGUAUAAGAGGGAGGCAGCCUAAUUUCCUUGAUAUUUUGCAUUAUAGAAUUAGGAAUAUGGAUUGCGUUAAACACUGUGAUUAUUGCUUUUAAAGAGACUUUUGCCGGCAAUGGAACCAAAAAAAGUAAUUGUCUCAGGCUGGUUUUAAUGACAAUAGGUAUAAAUAGUAAUCUAAUUAUACUUGGGAGAGAUUUAUAGCUCUAAUUACUACUAGUUUAAAAUUGCAAAGGGAUUGACACAAGCAAUCAACACAUUCCAUGCUGUGAAUCCAUCUUGCUAUUGUAAAAGCUACCUGCCAAUUGCUUGUCAGUGGAAUGAUAUGCCAUGCUGCACACAUUAUUUCGGGAAUUAGCAAUACAACAGCUCCAUAUGCAUAAAUGUUAUCUGUUCAGUUGAAUGGUAAAAUGUAGAGCCCAGAGGUUAUAACAUUCACAAUCGGAGUCUUGCAAUUAUGUGAUUCCCCCCCCUCCCUCAUACAGGCUUUUUAUCUGCCUGAUGCAAUAUGAGCUAAUUUCAGGGGGCUCAGCUCUCCAGGUGACUGUAACUUGCUGUAAGUGAACUAUCUCUGAACGUGUUUUUUCAUACCUGGAAGAUUCGAUACAGGUCCCCAACAACAUAAGCUUGCUGAUUAUUACAGGAGAUGGGUGUGAUUGAUUUAACUUAACCUUUUUCCUCUUUCAGGUGCACACAUCAUAUAUAUCUUUCCAUGCACUUCCUUGAGUAUAACAUAUGCGCCUAAUGCGCUCAGGCAGUUGAACACUUACUUUUGAUUAUCACAUAAAAAUAGAUGCAAAACACCUCUGCUUUUACCUUGCACUGCACUGUUCUCUCCUGGCCACUUGGCUGGCAAGGACCGGGGCAGGUCUUUAUGCAUGAUAAAUUGUAGACAGGCUGACUUUCUUCAGUGUACAUUAGGUAGCCAAGUGAAGCUGAGGACAGGGCUGCUGCACCUUUAAUAGAGUGCAGAAGAAGGAAUUUUGGCAGAUCUUGCUGGUCCUGCCAACUCUGCCUGCUGAAAUUUCUUCAUCUUCAUAGCUAUUUGUGCUGCAGGACCAUGGUUCUCUUUUUCACCUGUCUACUGUAGCGACUAUGGGUAGAGUCCAAGAAGAAGAAGAAAGGCUGUAAGCCUGCUUAGAUCCAGAUCAGAUGCAACAAACCAGACAAGAGGACUCAAAAGUUUCUCCAAACCAACAGCUGCUUCCGCACCCCAGUCUGUGCAUUUUCCUUCCAUUCUAUGACUUCAUUUCAAUCAAUUUCAAGUUUGUUCCAAAGGAUGGAUGACUGACAGAGAAGUGGGAAGGAUGGUCCAUGGCCCACCAACCGCCCAGCCAUUGCUCACUCUCAAAAUCUCUUCCCAGGAGGGGAAGGAAAAUGGGCUACCUCUCACCAGCCUAUGCAACAACAAGCUCCUUUCUUCUCUUUCUUCUCUCGCCUCACACACCUUCACAUCAGAAGUGGCCGUUCCAUCCUCAAGUGUGUUGAAUGUUCCCAUGGUCAACAUUUAACCUUUAAUGGUUUAGCACGCCCAUCUUGUGUGGAGGUAACAGGAUUAAUCUGCCAUGAACCUCCAGAGAAGUCUCAUCGUGAGAAUCCCACACCUUUGCAAGGUUGUACUCCCCACCCCCAAUGAUAACAAUACUUAACAAGGCUUAGUAUAUUUCCAUAAAAUAAAUUGUAAGGUAUCAUCAACAACAAUCCAGAAAAAGAAAACAUACCCAAACGACACAAGAAGUUACACCAAACAACACAUAAGGAAGAAAAGAGGCUCAUACUUCCAUGUUCCAAUAUGUUAUAACUAUACUAAAUUUCUCAACAAAUCCAUUGUCUGCUUGACUACCUUUUCUGUGUCUGUUAUUUUUAACAUACAUGUCAUAUAUAUGCUAGAUCCUCAGUAGUAAUCCCAUUCCUGCACAAUUAUUCUUGCAUAAACUUCCAAGAAAUCACUUCCCAUAGUAUUUUGCUGAGCCUCUGGAAAGCUCUGAACAGCUUUUGAUUUGAAAAGUUUUUCCUAUUUCUACUGUAUAUACUGUUUCUAUAUCUAUUCAAAUUCCAAUCCACCUUACAAUGGGCUAUGAAGAAUGGGGAGCACAUUUUUAGUCUCCUUUCUCAUUAGACCCUCUAGGUUAUUUAAUUCUUUCCUGCAUCAUGACCGAAUCUUCUAUACCAGAGUCAUCUGAAGGCAUGAACUCCCUUUGUACUGCAGAUUAGAAGGAAUGCUGUUUGUAUCUCAGUGACAGCUGUGAACAGGCAAUGUUUCAGUCCUAGUGUAGCUGUGGAAGCCAAAGAACAGCUGAAAGGACUUUUGGGAUUUUGGUGCCACAACUUGCCACCUGUCUUUGCUUCAAGACCAGUGUUUGUAAUGAAUGUGCUCAUUUUAACAAAGUUAACUGAACUAUUUUUUACAAAAUCUCUGAACUACACCUGAAAGAAGUUUCCAUAAUAAAGUAUUGGUGAGUUAAGUGCAUUUAUAGGGCAUCAGAUGGCUCCAUCUCCUUGCUUCAACUCCUCAUGUUGGAAGAACCCCCAGCCUGACCAGACUCACUAGAAAUUCUCCGAAGUGCCUGAUCUGAUUAUUUGAAAUUCCUAGGAAACUCUCCAGUGUGUGGUGUGAAUGUGACCUCAGUCUGAUGUGUGUUGAUCUACUGUGACUACCCCUGGAAUGAUGCUAACUGCUGAGCUUUUGCUGAAUAAGUCCCUGGCCCUUGGAAAACAAUGUAAUUUUAAUGCAAAAUUCAAUCCUCUUUUGUUCCCUUGUAUUUGCGAUGUUUAAUUCCCCCACCCCAUUUUUUGUUUUGCCAUCCUAAAUGUAAGGUGAACACAUUAUGUUUUCUCUGAAUUGAAAUUCAGGAACCGAUUUUGCCUUUCCUAAAGAUGACAGUUUCGAAGGAACAAUGCUUAGAAUUCCUAGAGCGUUUAUUAGGUUUCCUGCAACUUUGCCAAUGGACUAUUUGCUAAGUUUAAAGCAUGUUGUUGACUCUCCCAUAAGCAUGUAGUCUGGUAGUGCUGCUGAAAAGUCAGUGUGGACUGACAAUAACUUUAAAAAUUCAUCUGCUGCAAGCUCAAAGGCUGAGCCCUGUGAAUAGGCCCUUAUUUUUCUGGCCACCACUGAGUUUAUUAAGCAAAGCUAUCUGACAGGGUCUCUCCCCCCUCACUAGAGAGCCAUUCUGAAUGCUGAAACACUUCAUCAGGUCUAAUAUGCUGAGUAUUUUCUGCAAUUGCAACUCAGCUUCAUUUUUGUGUGUGCCCUAUUUGUUGGGAAAGAUCGCAGUGAGGAUAUUCAAUGAAUUAGGAUUCUAAUGCAGAGGAUUUCUUUGUGGGCUUCUGCUGGGAAGCGAGCAAGUAAAUUGCAUGACAGAAUUGAGACUUAUAAAUUUGUAAUAGGUCUCACACUGUGCAGGUGCCUGAGCAAAAGAAAGUAUAUCUAGAAUAGAACAGGCACAUUCAAUGCACAGGGAACAACUGUCUGCCCUGCUUCUGACCUUUCCUAGCUGUCUGGUUAAGAAGGUGGCUUGGAAACUGGUGAAUCUCAUCUUCCUAGUUCAAAUAAUAAUGCAUGAUAAUCAGUAGGAAGAACAGGAAAAAGGGAAGAGGAAAAAAAAGUCAAGGAAGUUAAAACUUUAUCCCUCCUUCCGCUACAUUCCAGUUAAUGCCAUGUGCUAACCAAGUCCUCAUUUCUGGAACUUCAGUGCUUUAUUUCUGAAGCUAAUCAUGAAGCUACCUUAUAACUUUUGGUUUUGCAACCAUUUCCCUAAGAACUCUGGUCAGAAUUCCAGUUCUUCAGAAAUCUCUCCAUGGUCUAGGUUUCUCAGGCACAGAAUCACUGAUUGGACUUGAUUCACACUAAAACUUGCCCACAUAUAUAUUUUACCAAAUUUUCUUAGAAGGACCCUGUGCAGGGUGGAUGUUAAAUGGCAGCUUCAGAGAGAAUUUUACUAGCCUGGCUGUGUGUGCAUGUUUACUUUUAACAUAUCUCACAAAAACAUCCUCAGCUUGCCUUUGCAUGCUUCAAUCUAUCCCCCCUAAAAUGUUUAGUUUUCUCGUUUAUGGGAGUUCCCAGCACAUACAUUGCCUGAACAAAAGGGGGAGCUGGAAAAUAUUCCCUAUUUCCAAGUGAAUUUUGUGUUAAAUGGAUUUAACUUAUCUCUGUGAUGUAAAUUGUUUGUUUCUGUUCACUUACUACCCUGAGAGUUUCCCCUUCAACUCAACCUUUGGAAGCCUAGAUUGAAUUCCAGCAUGGGUGGCAUAAAUUUUCACUGAAACAUCCUCCAUGGAAAGUUGUCAGUCCCUGUUUCAAAUAUGGCAGUUCUGGGCUUAUCUACCUUGUCAGAGCUCGAAAGGGACCAGUUUGUUCCCUUUUUCUUCUCUACCUUGCUGUUACCUCAUUUAGAAACCCAUUUUUGGUCACUCCCAUCGCAUCAUUACUUUCCUGUUGGCAAGCAGUCCUUACUGUGGUUGUUAUGGGGAAUGGGAAAAAGAAACCAAAAGAUAUUUUUUUUAAAAAAAAACCAACAACAACUUUCCUGAAGCAGCUCUCUUACCUGUCACAUCUGAAUUUCAUUAGUGUUGACAGAAAAGCAUGAUGGUUCUUAAUUGAAGAUUCACACCUGUGGUAUGACAGCAGCUGCUUCUUUUUUUCAGGCUACCUUCAGGCCUCUCCUCAGCUUGCUGCUGUUCUGAAGAUUGGUAUUUAUUGGGAGAGAAGCAUUUAUUUAAUAAAAAGGCUUUUCAAGGCAAUGCUCAUUUUCAAGGUG